AACAGUUUGAGGAGACAUUGCUUAAAGCACCAUUCCUGACGUUUUCAUAGGAUCCUGAUGUCGCAGUUGGUGUCCAGGGUACUCAUGUAGAACCCUAAGAUAAGUAUGUUCUUGGGCUAAGGGAAUCAAAGAGGUCCCUCCUCCUCCAUGUGACAGGUCAGUGAGGAAGUGUCCCUCAGCAUUCUCCACCCCUUUCUUGAUUUGAAGGUGCUAAUGUUAGAAAGGAUGACUCUGUUCUGAGAGCGGGAUCUGGGCACGAGCGUGGUCACAUGGAUGCUAAAAGCAAGGGCAUGGAAGGAAUGAAUCUGUAGAUGUUUGUGAUUUUUUGAGGCGCUGCCUCAGACAGUGAGCAGAGGAGUGUUUGCAGAUCUGCAGGAGGCAGAGCUUCAACUCUGGGGACCGGACUGUUGCCUUGUAUUUAUUCCAACAUCCAAGUAAAUUUGCAGCAUCAUUCGCUGGUUUAUGGGGGCACCAAAAUUCUCAUUGACUCUAUGCUGACACUAUGUUAUUUUCUGUGUUUUUUAACAAGUUCCUCUGAAAGAAGUAUAGGGAUGCCAAGAAGGCUGGUGCUGGAACCUCAUGCAAAUGUCAGGUAA
rnacentral:lncRNA from 1 species